CUUUCUUUGCUGGCGACCGGCGCACGGGUGAGUAACACGUAUCCAACCUGCCCUUUACUCGGGGAUAGCCUUUCGAAAGAAAGAUUAAUACCCGAUAGUAUAAUGAUUCCGCAUGGUUUCAUUAUUAAAGGAUUCCGGUAAAGGAUGGGGAUGCGUUCCAUUAGGUUGUCGGUGAGGUAACGGCUCACCAAGCCUUCGAUGGAUAGGGGUUCUGAGAGGAAGGUCCCCCACAUUGGAACUGAGACACGGUCCAA
rnacentral:rRNA from 1 species